ACCUAGCCCUGAUAGAAGCGGCAUCCUUUACUUGUGCUCUUUAGCAAGUAAAGAUACAAGCGGAUGGCAGGAGAUUGC
rnacentral:sRNA from 1 species